rnacentral:misc_RNA from 1 species
GUGAAUCAUCGAAUUUUUGAACGCAAAUUGUACUCUCUUCGGAGAGUAUGCCUGUUUGAGGGUCAGCCUAAAAAAAAUCGACAUAGUCGCGGUUUCGCGGUGACAUUCGUCGGAAAUGGGGUAAUCUUAAACCUUGGGGUUUUAAGCGGCUUAAAAUUUUCUUUACGAUUCUAGGAAGGUUCUUAAGAUUUAUUAACAGGUUAA